AGCAGUAUUGARCUGAAGAGUUUGAUCAUGGCUCAGAUUGAACGCUGGCGGCAGGCCUAACACAUGCAAGUCGAGCGGAUGAAGGGAGCUUGCUCCUGGAUUCAGCGGCGGACGGGUGAGUAAUGCCUAGGAAUCUGCCUGGUAGUGGGGGAUAACGUCCGGAAACGGGCGCUAAUACCGCAUACGUCCUGAGGGAGAAAGUGGGG
rnacentral:rRNA from 1 species